GAUAGAUCAAAUCCAGAAAUUCAUAAUCUGCUGCCAUUUUGACCAUGAAAGGGUCUGCAUCUUUGGUAAUUAUUAAUUUAGGAUAAACAUGAUCUCCCGAUGCAAUAAAAUAUGAUUCAUUUUCUUCCAAUUCAUAAAAAAUUUUGGCAAAUGAUCUAUAUUCUUCUUCUUUUGAUGAUAAAGGGGUAUCAUCAUCUUCAUCAGUUUUGAUUCUGAUAACUCUUGUAUGUUCAUCGCCAUUUUUUAUAG
rnacentral:lncRNA from 1 species